GUGGGGAAUAUUGGGCAAUGGGGGCAACCCUGACCCAGCGACGCCGCGUGGGUGAAGAAAUCCCUCGGGAUGUAAAGCCCUGUUGUAUGGGAAGAGCAGAAGACGGUACCAUACGAGGAAGCCCCGGCAAACUACGUGCCAGCAGCCGCGGUAAUACGUAGGGGGCAAGCGUUGUCCGGAAUUACUGGGCGUAAAGCGCACGCAGGCUGAAUUAUAAGUCGGUAGUCAAAUACGGAGGCUCAACUUCCGGAUAUCUAUCGAUACUGUAAAUCUAGAGUAUGUGAGAGGGAAGCGGAAUUCCCGGUGUAGCGGUGAAAUGCGUAGAUAUUGGGAAGAACACCGGUGGCGAAGGCGACUUGCUGGCCAGCAACUGACGCUGAGGCGCGAAAGCCAGGGGAGCAAACGGGAUUAGAAACCCCGGUAGUCC
rnacentral:rRNA from 1 species